UCAUAUCACGUUGAAAUACCGGUUCCCGUACGAUCAUCAAAGUUAAGCACCGUCGAGUCAGGUCACUACCUAGAUGGUUGACCGCUUAUGAAUACCAGAUGCUGUAUG